UGGCGACCGGCGCACGGGUGAGUAACGCGUAUCCAACCUGCCCUUUACUAUGGGACAGCCCGUCGAAAGGCGGAUUAAUACCGUAUGUUGUCAUGUUGAUGCAUAUUUUCAUGACCAAAGGCUUCGGCCGGUAAAGGAUGGGGAUGCGUCUGAUUAGCUUGCCGGCGGGGUAACGGCCCACCGGGGCGACGAUCAGCAGGGGUUCUGAGAGGAAGGUCCCCCACAUUGGAACUGAGACACGGUCCAAACUCCUACGGAAGGCAGCAG
rnacentral:rRNA from 1 species